rnacentral:rRNA from 4 species
CAAUCAAACCGGGAGAUAGCUGGUUCUCCCCGAAAGCUAUUUAGGUAGCGCCUCGUGAAUUCAUCUCCGGGGGUAGAGCACUGUUUCGGCUAGGGGGCCAUCCCGGCUUACCAACCCGAUGCAAACUGCGAAUACCGGAGAAUGUUAUCACGGGAGACACACGGCGGGUGCUAACGUCCGUCGUGAAGAGGGAAACAACCCAGACCGCCAGCUAAGGUCCCAAAGUCAUGGUUAAGUGGGAAACGAUGUGGGAAGGCCCAGACAGCCAGGAUGUUGGCUUAGAAGCAGCCAUCAUUUAAAGAAAGCGUAAUAGCUCACUGGUCGAGUCGGCCUGCGCGGAAGAUGUAACGGGGCUAAACCAUGCACCGAAGCUGCGGCAGCGAACGUAUCACCCAAGACAACUUUACGGAGUUGACGAUUGACGGAGCGAAGCGACGUCAAAGCGUUCAUUAAAGUCGAGUUGGCUUAGGGAUACGUUCGUUGGGUAGGGGAGCGUUCUGUAAGCCUGUGAAGGUGUGUCGUGAGGCAUGCUGGAGGUAUCAGAAGUGCGAAUGCUGACAUAAGUAACGAUAAAGCGGGUGAAAAGCCCGCUCGCCGGAAGACCAAGGGUUCCUGUCCAACGUUAAUCGGGGCAGGGUGAGUCGACCCCUAAGGCGAGGCCGAAAGGCGUAGUCGAUGGGAAACGGGUUAAUAUUCCCGUACUUGGUGUUACUGCGAAGGGGGGACGGAGAAGGCUAUGUUGGCCGGGCGACGGUUGUCCCGGUUUAAGCGUGUAGGUGUGUGUUCCAGGUAAAUCCGGUUCACUUUAACACUGAGGCGUGACGACGAGGCACUACGGUGCUGAAGCAACAAAUGCCCUGCUUCCAGGAAAAGCCUCUAAGCAUCAGGUAACAUCAAAUCGUACCCCAAACCGACACAGGUGGUCAGGUAGAGAAUACCAAGGCGCUUGAGAGAACUCGGGUGAAGGAACUAGGCAAAAUGGUGCCGUAACUUCGGGAGAAGGCACGCUGACACGUAGGUGAAGUGAUUUACUCAUGGAGCUGAAGUCAGUCGAAGAUACCAGCUGGCUGCAACUGUUUAUUAAAAACACAGCACUGUGCAAACACGAAAGUGGACGUAUACGGUGUGACGCCUGCCCGGUGCCGGAAGGUUAAUUGAUGGGGUCAGCGCAAGCGAAGCUCCUGAUCGAAGCCCCGGUAAACGGCGGCCGUAACUAUAACGGUCCUAAGGUAGCGAAAUUCCUUGUCGGGUAAGUUCCGACCUGCACGAAUGGCGUAAUGAUGGCCAGGCUGUCUCCACCCGAGACUCAGUGAAAUUGAACUCGCUGUGAAGAUGCAGUGUACCCGCGGCAAGACGGAAAGACCCCGUGAACCUUUACUAUAGCUUGACACUGAACAUUGAGCCUUGAUGUGUAGGAUAGGUGGGAGGCUUUGAAGUGUGGACGCCAGUCUGCAUGGAGCCGACCUUGAAAUACCACCCUUUAAUGUUUGAUGUUCUAACGUGGACCCGUAAUCCGGGUUGCGGACAGUGUCUGGUGGGUAGUUUGACUGGGGCGGUCUCCUCCUAAAGAGUAACGGAGGAGCACGAAGGUUGGCUAAUCCUGGUCGGACAUCAGGAGGUUAGUGCAAUGGCAUAAGCCAGCUUGACUGCGAGCGUGACGGCGCGAGCAGGUGCGAAAGCAGGUCAUAGUGAUCCGGUGGUUCUGAAUGGAAGGGCCAUCGCUCAACGGAUAAAAGGUACUCCGGGGAUAACAGGCUGAUACCGCCCAAGAGUUCAUAUCGACGGCGGUGUUUGGCACCUCGAUGUCGGCUCAUCACAUCCUGGGGCUGAAGUAGGUCCCAAGGGUAUGGCUGUUCGCCAUUUAAAGUGGUACGCGAGCUGGGUUUAGAACGUCGUGAGACAGUUCGGUCCCUAUCUGCCGUGGGCGCUGGAGAACUGAGGGGGGCUGCUCCUAGUACGAGAGGACCGGAGUGGACGCAUCACUGGUGUUCGGGUUGUCAUGCCAAUGGCACUGCCCGGUAGCUAAAUGCGGAAGAGAUAAGUGCUGAAAGCAUCUAAGCACGAAACUUGCCCCGA